rnacentral:rRNA from 1 species
UAGGGAAUCUUUCGCAAUGGGCGAAAGCCUGACGGAGCAACGCCGCGUGAGUGAUGAAGGUCUUCGGAUCGUAAAACUCUGUUAUUAGGGAAGAAUAAAUGUGUAAGUAACUAUGCACGUCUUGACGGUACCUAAUCAGAAAGCCACGGCUAACUACGUGCCAGCAGCCGCGGUAAUACGUAGGUGGCAAGCGUUAUCCGGAAUUAUUGGGCGUAAAGCGCGCGUAGGCGGUUUUUUAAGUCUGAUGUGAAAGCCCACGGCUCAACCGUGGAGGGUCAUUGGAAACUGGAAAACUUGAGUGCAGAAGAGGAAAGUGGAAUUCCAUGUGUAGCGGUGAAAUGCGCAGAGAUAUGGAGGAACACCGGUGGCGAAAGCGGCUCUCUGGUCUGUAACUGACGCGGAGGCUCGAAAGCGUGGGGAGCGAACAGG